AGGGUGAAUCACUACUGAUGUGGAAUGAAACGGCAUUUGCAUUUCACACAGUGACUCAACCUCUGCUAAAAUAGCUGACAACACCUAGGACAAACCAGUAGACACAUGGGCACCAUCUACUACGCUGCACCACCUCCUUAUUGAUCUGUGUUGCACUGCGUGAAAUAGGCCAAGCUGUCAUCAAAGGCACCUGGCCUGACUCCAGCAAGAUGAUGAAUUGGUAGGGAAGCACCUUGAAGCAGCAGGAGAGCAGCAUGAAAACAGGAGAAAACACAAAGCACGAGACAGGCUGGAGGACUUGCGCUGUGGCCUUUGAGGCGUGUGCAGAGCAGGCUGCUGCACCAGUGUGCA